rnacentral:rRNA from 1 species
UACGAAGGGGGCUAGCGUUGCUCGGAAUCACUGGGCGUAAAGGGUGCGUAGGCGGGUCUUUAAGUCAGGGGUGAAAUCCCGGGGCUCAACCUCGGAAUUGCCUUUGAUACUGUCUGUCUUCGAGUUCGGGAGAGGUUGGCGGAAUUCCUAGUGUAGAGGUGAAAUUCGUAGAUAUUAGGAAGAACACCAGUGGCGAAGGCGGCCAACUGGCCCGAUACUUGACGCUCAUGUGCGAAAGGCGUGGGGA